GACAGAGGGUGCAAACGUUUGUUCGGAAUUACUGGGCGAAAGCGCGUGUAGGCGGCGAUGCAAGUCGGAUGUGAAAUCCCUCGGCUUAACCAAGGAAGUGCAUCCGAAACUGCAGUGCUUGAGUACUUAAGAGGAUCGCGGAAUUCCCGGUGUAGAGGUGAAAUUCGUAGAUAUUCGCAAGAACACCAGUGGCGAAGGCGGCUCACUGGCCCGAUACCUGACGCUGAGGCACGAAAGCGUGGGGAAGCAAACAGG
rnacentral:rRNA from 1 species